AUUGAACGCUGGCGGCAUGCCUUACACAUGCAAGUCGAACGGUAACAGGUCUUCGGAUGCUGACGAGUGGCGCACGGGUGAGUAAUACAUCGGAACGUGCCCAAUCGUGGGGGAUAACGGAGCGAAAGCUUUGCUAAUACCGCAUACGAUCUACGGAUGAAAGCAGGGGACCGCAAGGCCUUGCGCGGACGGAGCGGCCGAUGGCAGAUUAGGUAGUUGGUGGGAUAAAAGCUUACCAAGCCGACGAUCUGUAGCUGGUCUGAGAGGACGACCAGCCACACUGGGACUGAGACACGGCCCAGACUCCUACGGGAGGCAGCAGUGGGGAAUUUUGGACAAUGGGCGAAAGCCUGAUCCAGCCAUGCCGCGUGCAGGAUGAAGGCCUUCGGGUUGUAAACUGCUUUUGUACGGAACGAAAAGACUCUUUCUAAUAAAGAGGGUCCAUGACGGUACCGUAAGAAUAAGCACCGGCUAACUACGUG
rnacentral:rRNA from 1 species